UUGCUUUCUUUUGCUGGCGACCGGCGCACGGGUGAGUAACACGUAUCCAACCUGCCCUUUACUCGGGGAUAGCCUUUCGAAAGAAAGAUUAAUACCCGAUAGCAUAAUGAUUCCGCAUGGUUUCAUUAUUAAAGGAUUCCGGUAAAGGAUGGGGAUGCGUUCCAUUAGGUUGUUGGUGGGGUAACGGCCCACCAAGCCUUCGAUGGAUAGGGGUUCUGAGAGGAAGGUCCCCCACAUUGGAACUGAGACACGGUCCAA
rnacentral:rRNA from 1 species